GGCCUCAUAGCUCAGAUGGUAGAGUGUAUGUGUAUAAUGCGUACGCGUCGUCCAUGCGUGGGUUCGAAUUCCACCGAGGCUA
rnacentral:tRNA from 1 species